GACGAAGGGGGCUAGCGUUGUUCGGAAUUACUGGGCGUAAAGCGAGUGUAGGUGGUUGUCAUAAUCAGGUGUGAAAGCCUUGAGCUCAACUCAAGAAAUGCACUUGAUACUGGGCGACUAGAGGACCGGAGAGGAUAGUGGAAUUCCCAGUGUAGUGGUGAAAUACGUAGAGAUUGGGAAGAACACCAGUGGCGAAGGCGGCUAUCUGGACGGUUUCUGACACUAAGACUCGAAAGCGUGGGGAGCAAACAGG
rnacentral:rRNA from 1 species